UUCUCUUCUGAAUCGAUCAUAAAAAGUUGCAUCAUACCAUUUUGGCAAAACAAUCUCGUCUGCAACCUUUCCCGUCAGCUUUGACAAGCGCGUUAUGUAACAUUCGUAACUACUCGUGUCAUUCCGGUAGGUCACGGAAAGUGGCGAGUAGUUACGAAUGGUUAUGUAACCGGCCGUAAUCACGUGGAACGCAUGCACGUCGUGCACAGUCGAUGAAUGCUGCAAGCUUGGUUUGCACAAGCGCACUCGAGGUCAGGAACGAUCGGAUAAGUCCAAGAGCCACAAUGGAGGAUCGACAGCACAGUUUUCCACAGCCAAAUGUUGGGGGCGAAUUUGAUGCCAUCGAGUGAUGCUUGAGAGACGGCAACCAUGAAAACGGGAAGAAACUGGACACACUGAUGAAGAGGCCGAACGUUUUGAAGAAAAACCUUUUCCAUCAAUGUCAACUUGCGAUAAUAAACUUUUAGUCUCUCA